rnacentral:rRNA from 1 species
AUACGUAGGGUGCGAGCGUUGUCCGGAUUUAUUGGGCGUAAAGGGCUCGUAGGUGGUUGAUCGCGUCGGAAGUGUAAUCUUGGGGCUUAACCCUGAGCGUGCUUUCGAUACGGGUUGACUUGAGGAAGGUAGGGGAGAAUGGAAUUCCUGGUGGAGCGGUGGAAUGCGCAGAUAUCAGGAGGAACACCAGUGGCGAAGGCGGUUCUCUGGGCCUUUCCUGACGCUGAGGAGCGAAAGCGUGGGGAGCGAACAGGCUUAGAUACCCUGGUAGUCCACGCUGUAAACGGUGGGUACUAGGUGUGGGGUCCAUUCCACGGGUUCCGUGCCGUAGCUAACGCUUUAAGUACCCCGCCUGGGGAGUACGGCCGCAAGGCUAAAACUCAAAGGAAUAGACGGGG